rnacentral:rRNA from 1 species
UGGAGAGUUUGAUCCUGGCUCAGGACGAACGCUGGCGGCGUGCCUAAUACAUGCAAGUCGAGCGGCGAGAAGGGAGCUUGCUCCCGGAUGUUAGCGGCGGACGGGUGAGUAACACGUGGGUAACCUGCCUGUAAGACUGGGAUAACUCCGGGAAACCGGAGCUAAUACCGGAUAGUUCCUUGAACCGCAUGGUUCAAGGAUGAAAGACGGUUUCGGCUGUCACUUACAGAUGGACCCGCGGCGCAUUAGCUAGUUGGUGGGGUAAUGGCUCACCAAGGCGACGAUGCGUAGCCGACCUGAGAGGGUGAUCGGCCACACUGGGACUGAGACACGGCCCAGACUCCUAGGGAGGCAGCAGUAGGGAAUCUUCCGCAAUGGACGAAAGUCUGACGGAGCAACGCCGCGUGAGUGAUGAAGGUUUUCGGAUCGUAAAGCUCUGUUGUUAGGGAAGAACAAGUGCGAGAGUAACUGCUCGCACCUUGUCGGUACCUAAC